AACUUUCAGCAAUGGAUCGCUUGGCUCUCGCAUCGAUGAAGAACGCAGCGAAAUGCGAUACGUAAUGUGAAUUGCAGAAUUCAGUGAAUCAUCGAAUCUUUUAACGCACCUUGCGCCCCUUGGUAUUCCGAGGGGCACACUCGUUUGAGUGUCGUGAAAAUAUCAACCUUCUCGGUUUCUUCUGAACACCGAAGGAGGCUUGGACUUUGGUGUCCUUUGCUGGCGUCUCUCGCCAGCUCCUCUCAAUUGAAUUAGUGGGUUCCUCUUUGCCGAUCCUCGACGUGUGAUAAGAUGUUUCCAUGUCUUGGUUUAUGGCUCUGUUGCUUUUGGGACCCGCUUCUAACCGUCUCAACGAGACAACGUUCGAGCGUGUCGAACACUCUUGAACCCACGAACCCUUGACCUCAAAUCGGGUGAGACUACCCGCUGAACUUAAGCAUAUCAAUAAGCGGAGGAU
rnacentral:misc_RNA from 1 species